rnacentral:rRNA from 1 species
AGAGUUCGAUUAUGGCUCAGGACGAACGCUGGCGGCGUGCCUAACACAUGCAAGUCGAACGGACCGAUAGAGAGCUUGCUCUUUAGAAGGUUAGUGGCGGACGGGUGAGUAACGCGUGAGCAACCUGCCUUACAGAGGGGGAUAACGUCUGGAAACGGACGCUAAUACCGCAUAAAAUUGAGUGAUCGCAUGGUGACUGAAUCAAAGGAGCAAUCCGCUGUAAGAUGGGCUCGCGUCCGAUUAGCUAGAUGGUGGGGUAGAGGCCUACCAUGGCGACGAUCGGUAGCCGGACUGAGAGGUUGAACGGCCACAUUGGGACUGAGACACGGCCCAG